rnacentral:rRNA from 1 species
UACGGAGGGUGCAAGCGUUGUCCGGAUUUAUUGGGUUUAAAGGGCGCGUAGGUGGCGUGAUAAGGGUGUGGUGAAAGCCCGGGGCUCAACCCCGGGUCGGCCAUGCCGACUGUCAGGCUGGAGUACUGUAGGGGCAGGCGGAAUUCCGGGUGUAGCGGUGGAAUGCGUAGAGAUCCGGAGGAAGACCGGUGGCGAAGGCGGCCUGCUGG